GACGAACGCUGGCGGCGUGCCUAAUACAUGCAAGUCGAACGCAUUUUCUUUCACCGUAGCUUGCUACACCGAAAGAAAAUGAGUGGCGAACGGGUGAGUAACACGUGGGUAACCUGCCCAUCAGCGGGGGAUAACACUUGGAAACAGGUGCUAAUACCGCAUAAUUCCAUUUACCGCAUGGUAAAUGGAUGAAAGGCGCUUUUGCGUCACUGAUGGAUGGACCCGCGGUGCAUUAGCUAGUUGGUGGGGUAACGGCCUACCAAGGCUGCGAUGCAUAGCCGACCUGAGAGGGUGAUCGGCCACACUGGGACUGAGACACGGCCCAGACUCCUACGGGAGGCAGCAGUAGGGAAUCUUCGGCAAUGGACGCAAGUCUGGCCGAGCAACGCCGCGUGAGUGAAGAAGGUUUUCGGAUCGUAAAACUCUGUUGUUAGAGAAGAACAAGGAUGAGAGUGGAAAGUUCAUCCCUUGACGGUAUCUAACCAGAAAGCCACGGCUAACUACGUG
rnacentral:rRNA from 1 species